GCUCCAAUAGCGUAUAUUAAAGUUGUUGCAGUUAAAAAGCUCGUAGUUGAAUUGGGCCUAGUGAGGUGGUCUAGCUUUACGGUUAGUACUGCUUUCGCUGGGUCUUUCCUUCUGGCUAACUAGUGUGCUCUUAAUUGGGUGCGCUAGGGAUCCAGGACUUUUUACUGUGAAAAAAUUAGAGUGUUUAAAGCAGGCUUACG
rnacentral:rRNA from 1 species